GACGAACGCUGGCGGCGUGCUUAACACAUGCAAGUCGAACGGAAAGGCCCUGCUUUUGUGGGGUGCUCGAGUGGCGAACGGGUGAGUAACACGUGAGUAACCUGCCCUUGACUUUGGGAUAACUUCAGGAAACUGGGGCUCAUACCGGAUAGGAGCUCCCGCUGCAUGGUGGGGGUUGGAAAGUUUCGGCGGUUGGGGAUGGACUCGCGGCCUAUCAGCUUGUUGGUGGGGUAGUGGCUUACCAAGGCUUUGACGGGUAGCCGGCCUGAGAGGGUGACCGGCCACAUUGGGACUGAGAUACGGCCCAGACUCCUACGGGAGGCAGCAGUGGGGAAUAUUGCACAAUGGGCGGAAGCCUGAUGCAGCAACGCCGCGUGCGGGAUGACGGCCUUCGGGUUGUAAACCGCUUUCGCCUGUGACGAAGCGUGAGUGACGGUAAUGGGUAAAGAAGCACCGGCUAACUACGUG
rnacentral:rRNA from 1 species